rnacentral:tRNA from 1 species
AGGGAUGUAACUCAAAGGUAGAGUGUUUGUUUGAUAGGUAUGAGAACCUGGGUUUAAACUCCAGUAUCUUUU